CAUGCGCACUAAGGGUACUCAUGCGCACUGGGGAAAUGAGGUCCUGGGGCAAGGAAUUCACGCCGUAUUCAAAAAAGGAACGCGGCUCCAUUAGCCGUGAGGUAAUAAAAGGCCUUGAAUUCAGCUGUGAAGUGGGUAACCGGGAACGUGCUUUCAGGACCCCUCUCUCUGCUGACAGCUUUCCUUUUGCUUAAUAAAGUGUACUCCACUCACUCUUCGGUAUCUGCAUGCCCGUUUCUUCCAGGUCAUGAGACGAGAACCCGGACCUAGCUGAGGUCCAUAAAUGGAGAAGAAAUUUACUCCAUGGUGGACUCACCCAUAACUGAUUUAGAUGAUGAGGUGUGGGACAUUUUCAGAUGAUUAUAUUCAGUUGCUGUUGGUAUCCUGGACCUAGCAUAGAACGUCAACACCAAGACAAAAGUAUGCCAAAUUGCAGGGUUUAUUGCCGGCAACCACGGAGGACUCACGUCUCUCCAACCCGUGGCAGGGAAAGAAGGGUGACAAGACCUUUUUAUACCGGGACAUGGAUGAAUCUGGAAACCAUAAUUCUCAGCAAACUGACACAAGAACAGAAAAUCAAACACCGCAUGUUCUCCCUCCUAGGCGGGUGUUGAACAAAGAGAACACAUGGACACAGGUAGGGGAGCAUCACACACUGGGGUCAGUUGGUGGGGGACUAGGGGAGAGACA